rnacentral:lncRNA from 1 species
UCGGAUUGGGGUUUUCUUUUCCAUUAAACUGUCGUGAAGCCUGGCGGUGCUGAACCCUCAAGAGCAAAAGAAAUGGAGAAACAAGCGGAAAACUCCAGCAGGUUGGUGCUUGUCUUAUAUCCAUUUCAAGGCCAUAUAAAUCCCAUGCUCCAGCUAGCCACUAUAUUUCAUGCAAAAGGCUACUCAAUCACCAUAAUUCACCCUGAAUUCAACUCUCCAAACCCUUCAAAC